rnacentral:rRNA from 1 species
GAUGAACGCUGGCGGCGUGCCUAAUACAUGCAAGUCGAGCGAACAGACGAGGAGCUUGCUCCUCUGACGUUAGCGGCGGACGGGUGAGUAACACGUGGAUAGCCUACCUAUAAGACUGGGAUAACUUCGGGAAACCGGAGCUAAUACCGGAUAAUAUAUUGAACCGCAUGGUUCAAUUGUGAAAGACGGUUUUGCUGUCACUUAUAGAUGGAUCCGCGCCGCAUUAGCUAGUUGGUAAGGUAACGGCUUACCAAGGCAACGAUGCGUAGCCGACCUGAGAGGGUGAUCGGCCACACUGGAACUGAGACACGGUCCAGACUCCUACGGGAGGCAGCAGUAGGGAAUCUUCCGCAAUGGGCGAAAGCCUGACGGAGCAACGCCGCGUGAGUGAUGAAGGUCUUCGGAUCGUAAAACUCUGUUAUUAGGGAAGAACAAAUGUGUAAGUAACUAUGCACGUCUUGACGGUACCUAAUCAGAAAGCCACGGCUAACUACGUG